CACGAAUCACACAUUUUUUAAAUCACAUUAUUUAUUCAUCACAAUUAUCUAAUAAUGAGUCACAAUCACUCUUUCAUUCGACCCAUUCUGUCCCCACCACCACUCCCACCAUUGUCGGCAUCACCGAAACACAUCGAUGCCACCUCACAGCACCACCGCUCCCAACCAUCGCCAUUGUGUCCAAACGCAACACACACACACACGGUGACACACCCCAUCUUACACAGAUCUACACGUGCGCCGCACAUCGUAACCCACCACCACUACUAUCUAAAGAGGCAAUGUCCAAAAUAGCAACCCAUACAAGCAGCGGCCCAAAACAGCAACCUAAAUAGAUAGCGCCCAAACACCAUCACACCGCAACCUAAACAGGCGAAACAUAAACAUCAACAAGCAGUGUUGAAACACAACAUCGUACCACCAAAACCACCAGACGCUACCCAUCGCAGAUUCACACCACCAUACAGGUUCGCGCCAUUACCACCACACCACAGCCCAACAUCUCACUACAACCACGUGCAAAUCUAAACACCAUACCACCGAGUCUGCGCCAUCACAAAUAUCGAUCCAUACUAAGGAGCCCUCGCCGGCAGCUCUACCACCCGGUGAACCAUCACAACGAGCUCAAAUAUCGAUCCAUACCGAAGAGCCCUCGUUGGCUAAUCUACCACUGGAUGAGCGGGUAAGCCGCUGGGUGACUUCCAAUUGCGAGGGCACAAUGGGUUUGUAGAGAGAGAGAGAGACUGAAGAGAGGGGAUCGAGAGACAGAGAGAGAGAGAGCUAAGUUUUUAAAUAAAUAAGUUUUAAACCUGAUUUUUGAAAUUGG
rnacentral:lncRNA from 1 species